rnacentral:rRNA from 1 species
UACGAAGGGGGCUAGCGUUGUUCGGAAUUACUGGGCGUAAAGCGCACGUAGGCGGAUAUUUAAGUCAGGGGUGAAAUCCCGCAGCUCAACUGCGGAACUGCCUUUGAUACUGGGUAUCUUGAGUAUGGAAGAGGUGAGUGGAAUUGCGAGUGUAGAGGUGAAAUUCGUAGAUAUUCGCAGGAACACCAGUGGCGAAGGCGGCUCACUGGUCCAUAACUGACGCUGAGGUGCGAAAGCGUGGGGAGCAAGCAGG